rnacentral:rRNA from 1 species
GACGAACGCUGGCGGCGUGCUUAACACAUGCAAGUCGAACGGAAAGGCCCUGCUUUUGUUGGGUGCUCGAGUGGCGAACGGGUGAGUAACACGUGAGUAACCUGCCCUUGACUUUGUGAUAACUUCAGGAAACUGGGGCUAAUACCGGAUAGGAGCUCCUGCUGCAUGGUGGGGGUUGGAAAGUUUCGGCGGUUGGGGAUGGACUCGCGGCUUAUCAGCUUGUUGGUGGGGUAGUGGCUUACCAAGGCUUUGACGGGUAGCCGGCCUGAGAGGGUGACCGGCCACAUUGGGACUGAGAUACGGCCCAGACUCCUACGGGAGGCAGCAGUGGGGAAUAUUGCACAAUGGGCGGAAGCCUGAUGCAGCAACGCCGCGUGCGGGAUGACGGCCUACGAGUUGUAAACCGCUUUCGCCUGUGACGAAGCGUGAGUGACGGUAAUGGGUAAAGAAGCACCGGCUAACUACGUG